GGGGGCUAGCGUUAUCCGGAUUUACUGGGCGUAAAGGGUGCGUAGGCGGUCUUUCAAGUCAGGAGUGAAAGGCUACGGCUCAACCGUAGUAAGCCCUUGAAACUGGGAGACUUGAGUGCAGGAGAGGCGAGUGGAAUUCCUAGUGUAGCGGUGAAAUGCGUAGAUAUUAGGAGGAACACCAGUUGCGAAGGCGGCUCUCUGGACUGUAACUGACGCUGAGGC
rnacentral:rRNA from 1 species